UACGUAGGGCGCAAGCGUUGUCCGGAAUUAUUGGGCGUAAAGAGCUCGUAGGCGGCUUGUCACGUCGGGUGUGAAAGCCCGGGGCUUAACCCCGGGUCUGCAUUCGAUACGGGCUAGCUAGAGUGUGGUAGGGGAGUCUGGAAUUCCUGGUGUAGCGGUGAAAUGCGCAGAUAUCAGGAGGAACACCGGUGGCGAAGGCAGCUCGCUGGGACGUGACUGACGCUGAGACGCGAAAGCGUGGGGAGCGAACAGG
rnacentral:rRNA from 1 species